UCGUUAACGAACGAGACCUCGACCUGCUAACUAGUGCAGCGCAGCAUUCGUGCUGCGGUCGUUGCGCACUUCUUAGAGGGACUAUCGGUGUGUAGCCGAUGGAAGUUCGAGGCAAUAACAGGUCUGUGAUGCCCUUAGAUGUUCUGGGCCGCACGCGCGCUACACUGACGGGUUCAUCGAGCUAAGCAUUUGUUACCUUGACUGACAGGUCUGGGGAAUCUUGGAAUGCCCGUCGUGCUGGGGAUAGACCCUUGGAAUUAUGGAUCUUGAACGAGGAAUUCCUAGUAAACGCAAGUCAUCAGCUUGCAUUGAUUACGUCCCUGCCCUUUGUACACACCGCCCGUCGCUAGUACCGAUUGAAUGGAUA
rnacentral:rRNA from 1 species